rnacentral:misc_RNA from 1 species
UCCGAGUUGACCCCGGCAGUCUUCGAUGAGUCCCCGCCAUAACGCGCUGGCGACAUCGAACGAGGGUUGCGCUCGUUGAUGGACUUAACCAAACAUCUCACGACACGAGCUGACGACGGCCAUGCAUCACCUGUCACUUGGCUUCCGAAGACACUUUCUCCUUUCGGAGAAAUUCCAAGGAUGUCAAGCCUGGGUAAGGUUCUUCGCUUACCAUCGAAUUAAACAACACGCUCCACCGCUUGUGCGGGUCCCCGUCAAUUCCUUUAUGUUUUAGUCUUGCGACCGUACUCCACAGGCGGGAUGCUUAACGCGUUAGCUUCGCUACAAGAAGGGUCGAUACUUCUUACACCUAGUGCCCAACGUUUACGGCGUGGACUAC